AUGAACUAUAAAACGUUUCCACUCAUAGUGACCUCAGCAACCUGUGUCCUGUCUUCUCAAUGUGACAGAUUGGGGCCAUCUUCAGAGCCUGCAUCGGAGUGCUCCAUUCUGCGCAGCCCUCCACAAUCUUUGAGGAGCAGGCUUGUACCACAGCCAAUAUCUCUGCUUGGCAACUCUAAUGAACAAAUUGCCACAAAAGUGAGACAGAACACACCUUUUUGA
rnacentral:lncRNA from 1 species